rnacentral:rRNA from 1 species
AGAUUGAACGCUAGCGGGAUGCUUUACACAUGCAAGUCGAACGGCAGCGCGGACUUCGGUCUGGCGGCGAGUGGCGAACGGGUGAGUAAUAUAUCGGAACGUGCCCAGUAGCGGGGGAUAACUACGCGAAAGCGUGGCUAAUACCGCAUACGCCCUACGGGGGAAAGGGGGGGAUCGCAAGACCUCUCACUAUUGGAGCGGCCGAUAUCAGAUUAGCUAGUUGGUGAGGUAAAGGCUCACCAAGGCGACGAUCUGUAGCUGGUUUGAGAGGACGACCAGCCACACUGGGACUGAGACACGGCCCAGACUCCUACGGGAGGCAGCAGUGGGAAUUUGGACAAUGGGGAAACCUGAUCCAGCCAUCCCGCGUGUGCGAUGAAGGCCUUCGGGUUGUAAAGCGACUUUGGCGAGGAAGAAACGGACGUGACUAAGUAUUCAGCGUCACUGACGGUACCUGCAGAAUAAGACACCGACUAACUACGU